UACGUAGGGGGGCAAGCGUUGUCCGGAAUCAUUGGGCGUAAAGAGCGUGUAGGCGGCCCGGUAAGUCCGCUGUGAAAGUCCAGGGCUCAACCCUGGGAUGCCGGUGGAUACUGUCGGGCUCGAGUCCGGAAGAGGAGUGUGGAAUUCCUGGUGGUAGCGGUGAAAUGCGCAGAAUAUCAGGAGGAACACCAAUGGCGAAGGCAG
rnacentral:rRNA from 1 species